CGAAGUAUAGCAUAUAAAAUGCUUUUUACUUACACUAAAAAUAAAACCAAUGGUUUACUUCGCCC
rnacentral:tRNA from 1 species